AGCAGCCGCGGUAAUUCCAGCUCCAAUAGCGUAUAUUAAAGUUGUUGCAGUUAAAAAGCUCGUAGUUGAAUUUCGGGAUUGACACAUCGGUCGUGCCUUAAGGGGUAUGAACUGGUGUAGUCAAUUUCUCACCUUCUGGAGAACCGCGAUGCCCUUAAUUGGGUGUCGCGGGGAACCAGGACCUUUACUUUGAAAAAAUUAGAGUGUUUAAAGCAGGCAUUUUGCUUGAAUACAUUAGCAUGGAAUAAUAAAAUAGGACGGCAUGAUUCUAUUUUGUUGGUUUCUAGGAUCACCGUAAUGAUUAAUAGGGAUAGUUGGGGGCAUUAGUAUUCAAUUGCCAGAGGUGAAAUUCUUGGAUUUAUUGAAGACUAACUACUGCGAAAGCAUUUGCCAAGGAUGUUUUCAUUAAUCAAGAACGAAAGUUAGGGGAUCGAAGACGAUCAGAUACCGUCGUAGUCUUAACCAUAAACUAUGCCGACUAGGAAUCAGACGAUGUUAAUUUUUUAAUGACUCGUUUGGCACCUUACG
rnacentral:rRNA from 1 species